rnacentral:rRNA from 1 species
ACGUAGGGUGCGAGCGUUAACCGGAAUUACUGGGCGUAAAGCGUGCGCAGGCGGUUAUAUAAGACAGAUGUGAAAUCCCCGGGCUCAACCUGGGACCUGUAUUUGUGACUGUAUAGCUAGAGUACGGUAGAGGGGGAUGGAAUUCCGCGUGUAGCAGUGAAAUGCGUAGAUAUGCGGAGGAACACCGAUGGCGAAGGCAAUCCCCUGGACCUGUACUGACGCUCAUGCACGAAAGCGUGGGGAGCAAACAGGAUUAGAUACCCUGGUAGUCCACGCCCUAAACGAUGUCAACUGGUUGUUGGGAGGGUUUCUUCUCAGUAACGUAGCUAACGCGUGAAGUUGACCGCCUGGGGAGUACGGCCGCAAGGUUG